rnacentral:rRNA from 1 species
CAAUAGCGUAUAUUUAAGUUGUUGCAGUUAAAAAGCUCGUAGUUGGAUUUCGGAUGGGACUUGCCGGUCCGUCGUUUCGAUGUGCACUGGCCAGUCCUAUCUUGUUGUCGGGGACUAGCUCCUGGGCUUCACUGUCUGAGGGUCAGAAUCGGCGAUGUUACUUUGAGUAAAUUAGAGUGUUCAAAGCAAGCUUACGCUCUGAAUAUAAUAGCAUGGGAUAACACGACAGGACUCUGGCCUAUCGUGUUGGUCUAUAGGACCAGAGUAAUGAUUAAGAGGGACAGUCGGGGGCAUUCGUAUUCCGUUGUCAGAGGUGAAAUUCUUGGAUUUACGGAAGACGAACAUCUGCGAAAGCAUUUGCCAAGGAUGUUUUCAUUGA